rnacentral:rRNA from 1 species
CACGUAGGGCGCAAGCGUUGUCCGGAAUUAUUGGGCGUAAAGAGCUCGUAGGCGGUCUGUUGCGUCUGCUGUGAAAGCCCGGGGCUUAACCCCUGGCUUGCAGUGGAUACGGACAGACUAGAGGUAGGUAGGGGAGAAUGGAAUUCCCGGUGUAGCGGUGAAAUGCGCAGAUAUCGGGAGGAACACCGGUGGCGAAGGCGGUUCUCUGGGCCUUACCUGACGCUGAGGAGCGAAAGCGUGGGGAGC